rnacentral:rRNA from 1 species
CCUACGGGAGGCAGCAGUGGGGGAUAUUGCACAAUGGGGGAAACCCUGAUGCAGCGACGCCGCGUGAGUGAAGAAGUAUUUCGGUAUGUACAGCUCUAUCAGCAGGGACGAAAAUGACAUUCCCUGACCAAGAAGCCCCGGCUAACUACGUGCCAGCAGCCGCGGUAAUACGUAGGGGGCAAGCGUUAUCCUGAUUUACUGGGUGUAAAGGGAGCGUAGACGGUUAUGUAAGUCUGGAGUGAAAGCCCGUGGCCGAACCCUGGGACUGCUUUGGACACUGUGUAACUGGAGUACAGGAGGGGCAGGCGGAAGUCCUGGGGUAGCGGUGAAAUGCGUAGAUAUCAGGAGGAACACCAGCGGCGAAGGCGGCCUGCUGGAAUGAAACUGACGUUGAGGCUCGAAAGAGUGGGGAGCAAACAGGAGUAGAUACCCCGGUAGUC